rnacentral:rRNA from 1 species
UACAGAGGUCCCGAGCGUUGUUCGGAUUCACUGGGCGUAAAGGGUGCGCAGGUGGCAUGGUAAGUUUGAUGUGAAAGCCCCGGGCUUAACCCGGGAACGGCAUUGAAUACUACUGAGCUUGAGGGUUGGAGGGGGGACUGGAAUUCUUGGUGUAGCAGUGAAAUGCGUAGAUAUCAAGAGGAACACCAGUGGCGGAGGCGAGUCCCUGGACAAUACCUGACACUGAGGCACGAAAGCCGGGGGAGCAAACAGG